ACGCAUCCCGUGGCGGGUGACGGCGAGCCCUGCUCCGCCCCCUGUGGGGCGUGAAGCGGGCCCCGUCCCCGUCCCAACCUUCACAAACCCCACGUGCACGUUUGCGGGAGGAAGGGGGCUCUCCGCCCCCGGAAACCGCUUCACAAACCCUUGCAAACCCAGAAUGACACGAGCGACCUCUGAGUCGUGCGAAAAUUGAAA
rnacentral:misc_RNA from 1 species